CACGUAGGGCGCAAGCGUUGUCCGGAAUUAUUGGGCGUAAAGAGCUCGUAGGCGGUCUGUUACGUCUGCUGUGAAAACCCGGGGCUUAACCCUGGGCUUGCAGUGGAUACGGGCAGACUAGAGGCAGGUAGGGGAGAAUGGAAUUCCCGGUGUAGCGGUGAAAUGCGCAGAUAUUGGGAAGAACACCAGUGGCGAAGGCGGUUCUCUGGGACGGUACUGACGCUGAGACGCGAAAGCGUGGGGAGCGAACAGG
rnacentral:rRNA from 1 species